rnacentral:rRNA from 1 species
AUGCAAGUCGAGCGGACAGAUGGGAGCUUGCUCCCUGAUGUUAGCGGCGGACGGGUGAGUAACACGUGGGUAACCUGCCUGUAAGACUGGGAUAACUCCGGGAAACCGGGGCUAAUACCGGAUGGUUGUUUGAACCGCAUGGUUCAAACAUAAAAGGUGGCUUCGGCUACCACUUACAGAUGGACCCGCGGCGCAUUAGCUAGUUGGUGAGGUAACGGCUCACCAAGGCAACGAUGCGUAGCCGACCUGAGAGGGUGAUCGGCCACACUGGGACUGAGACACGGCCCAGACUCCUACGGGAGGCAGCAGUAGGGAAUCUUCCGCAAUGGACGAAAGUCUGACGGAGCAACGCCGCGUGAGUGAUGAAGGUUUUCGGAUCGUAAAGCUCUGUUGUUAGGGAAGAACAAGUACCGUUCGAAUAGGGCGGUACCUUGACGGUACCUAACCAGAAAGCCACGGCUAACUACGUGCCAGCAGCCGCGGUAAUACGUAGGUGGCAAGCGUUGUCCGGAAUUAUUGGGCGUAAAGGGCUCGCAGGCGGUUUCUUAAGUCUGAUGUGAAAGCCCCCGGCUCAACCGGGGAGGGUCAUUGGAAACUGGGGAACUUGAGUGCAGAAGAGGAGAGUGGAAUUCCACGUGUAGCGGUGAAAUGCGUAGAGAUGUGGAGGAACACCAGUGGCGAAGGCGACUCUCUGGUCUGUAACUGACGCUGAGGAGCGAAAGCGUGGGGAGCGAACAGGAUUAGAUACCCUGGUAGUCCACGCCGUAAACGAUGAGUGCUAAGUGUUAGGGGGUUUCCGCCCCUUAGUGCUGCAGCUAACGCAUUAAGCACUCCGCCUGG